AGUAGGGUGGCCGAGUUAGGCGGUAAACUGUAAAUUUACUCACGAAGUUAGCUUCCCUUGCUA
rnacentral:tRNA from 1 species